CCCUUAGAUGUUCUGGGCUGCACACGUGCUACACUGGCAGGUUCAGCGAGCUUCAUGCCCUUAUCUGAAAGGAAUGGGAAAUCUUUUCAAAACCUGCCGUGCUUGGGAUAGAUGUUUGCAAUUAUUCAUCUUCAACGAGGAUUGCCUUGUAAGCGCACGUCAUCAGCGUGCAUUGAAUACGACCCUGUAUUCUGUACACACCGCCCGUCGCUCCUACCGAUUGAAGUUUUCGGUGAGUUGACAGGAGGAUUUUUUUGAAACUGGUUCGCCAGUGGAUUUUAGAUCCAAAUGCCAACGAAUCGAUGGCUUUAGAGGAAGGAGAAGUCGUAACA
rnacentral:rRNA from 1 species